rnacentral:rRNA from 1 species
CUACCCCUACGGGGCGCAGCAGUAGGGAAUUUUCGUCAAUGGGCGCAAGCCUGAACGAGCAAUGCCGCGUGAACGAGGAAGGUCUUCGGAUCGUAAAGUUCUGUUGAAGGGGAAAAAGAGCGGAGAGAGGAAAUGGUCUCCGAUUGAUAUUACCCUUCGAGGAAGUCACGGCUAACUACGUGCCAGCAGCCGCGGUAAUACGUUGGUGGUGAGCGUUAUCCGGAAUGAUUGGGCGUAAAGGGUGCGUAGUCGG